AGUCCUGUAGCUCAGUGGUUAGAGCAUUUCAUCAAAAAUGAGAGACCUGGGUUCAAUUCCCAGCAGGGUGA